GAUGAACGCUGGCGGCGUGCCUAAUACAUGCAAGUCGAGCGAACAGACGAGGAGCUUGCUCCUCUGACGUUAGCCGCGGGCGGGUGAGUAACACGUGUAUCACCUACCUAUCAGACUGGGAUAACUUCGGGAAACCGGAUCUAAUACCGGAUAAUAUAUUGAACCGCAUGGUUCAAUGGUGAAAGUCGGUUUUGCUGUCACUUCUCGAGGGUUCUCCGCCGCAUUAGCUAGUUGGUAAGGUAACGGCUUACCAAGGCAACGAUGCGUUGACGAAGGGAGAGGGGGAUCGGCCACACGGGAACUGAGACACCGUCCAGAGGCCUACGGGAGGCAGCAGUAGGGAAUCGUCCGCAAUGGGCGAAAGCUUGACGGAGCAACGCCGCGUGAGUGAUGAAGGUCUUCGGAUCGUAAAACUCUGUUAUUAGGGAAGAACAAAUGUGUAAGUAAAUAUGCACGUCUUGACGGUACCGAAUCAGAAAGCCACGGCUAACUACGUG
rnacentral:rRNA from 1 species